GACCUAAACCCUCACCAGAGUAACAAUUGGAGGGCAAGUCUGGUGCCAGCAGCCGCGGUAAUUCCAGCUCCAAUAGCGUAUAUUAAACUUGUUGCAGUUAAAAAGCUCGUAGUUGAAUUUUUGCGUCACCGUGUAUCGACAUUUGUCGUUUAUCGGUUUCGCUUUUGGGAUUUAUCCCUUUUUACUUUGAGAAAAUUAGAGUGUUUCAAGCAGACUUUUGUCUUGAAUACUUCAGCAUGGAAUAAUAGAGUAGGACUUUGGUUCUAUUUUGUUGGUUUGUGAACCUUAGUAAUGGUUAAUAGGAACGGUUGGGGGCAUUCGUAUUUAACUGUCAGAGGUGAAAUUCUUAGAUUUGUUAAAGACGAACUACUGCGAAAGCAUUUGCCAAGGACGUUUUCAUUAAUCAAGAACGAAAGUUAGGGGAUCGAAGACGAUCAGAUACCGUCGUAGUCCUAACCAUAAACUAUGCCGACUAGGGAUUGGAGGUCGUCAUUUUUCCGACUCCUUCAGCACCUUGAGAG
rnacentral:rRNA from 1 species